UACGUAGGGUGCGAGCGUUGUCCGGAAUUAUUGGGCGUAAAGAGCUUGUAGGCGGUUUGUCGCGUCUGCUGUGAAAAUCAGGGCUCAACCCUGGACCUGCAUUCGAUACGGGCAGACUAGAGUUCGGUAGGGGAGACUGGAAUUCCUGGUGUAGCGGUGAAAUGCGCAGAUAUCAGGAGGAACACCGGUGGCGAAGGCGGGUCUCUGGGCCGAAACUGACGCUGAGGAGCGAAAGCGUGGGGAGCAAACAGG
rnacentral:rRNA from 1 species